UUUGUCCGCGCGCACUUUUCUGUUUUCUUUCCACAUUUUUUUUCGGAGCUCCGCGAGGCGUACGUCUCGGACGCCUCCUCCUAACUGCGUGUCCUCUCGUUGCGAUUGUACACUUGCAUUGCUGGCUCUCUGUUGCCCUCUUUCCACCCCCCAACCCCCCCCUGUCGGAGCAACAGCACGCUGCUGGUCACCUUCGUUUUGUUCUGUCUUUAGGGGGUUUAUGUGUUUGUGUGCGCCCCGGAACGCCAUCUCCCCUCCUCCUCCCUUUUUUCGCGCCUUUAUUCCGUCUCCUCCCAUACGCCCACGUCUCGCGAAUCCCUCUCUCUCACGCUGUUUUCUAUCAUUUCUUGUUUUUUUUCUUUUCGCUCACCCUUCUCCGUUCAACUAGAACUCGUGCCCCCCCCCCUCUUACCUACCCACGCGUAAUUAUGUCUGCGUCUGAGGUUCAGCACUCCUACUACCCCGCGAGUGCGGCGCACACGAGCUAUCAAGCCGGCUCCUAUCUCCUGGAGGCCGGAUACAGACCCACAGAUGAGGAGUGUGCCACCCUCGCGGCACCGAUUGCCAGCUUCCUGCGCAACUGCAGCUGCUACGACAUGCUCGGUGUGUCAACGCAGGUGGUGGUCCUCGACGUGCAGGCGCCGCUGUCGGUCGCCUUCAUCGCCGCCCAGGAAACGCGCAUCAAGAGCUGCGUCCUAUGGGACCCGCGCAAGCGGCAGUACGUCGGCGUGCUCACCUCCACCGACUACAUUUGCAUUCUCCUGUACUGUCAGGCACACCCGAAAGAGGCAGACGCGGUGGCUCUGUGGACGAUCGAGCACUGGCAGGAGGUGAGGGCGGCGCAGGGGCUCGGGCGGCCGAAGGAGAAGCUGGGUGCGCCGCCAGGGCCAAAGAGCGGUAUCAUCACAUGCAAGACAGACACUUCGCUGCACGACUGCCUGCAGAUGAUGCGGGAGCACUGCGUCCGCCGCAUCAUCGCCCUAGCGGAGAAAGAGGGCGAAGACUUCAGCCUCGUUGCCAUGAUGGACGUGGAGCAAAUUGUCGAGUACCUUGGCGUGAUGUUCUUUCAUAUUGAGAAGGCCGGUGGUUCGAUCGGCCGGGCCGGCGGCGGCGCGAACAGCAGCACGGGCGACGCAGCAGGUGACGGCGCUGGUGGUGUUGGUGCCCCUCACCGCACGAACUUGACAAUAUCCACAGCGAAAAACACGACCAGCGUCGCCGGCGACAGCGACUUAUCCUCACCGCAGCACAACAACAGUCACCAGCUCAGGUCAAACGAUUUCGAAGAGUACGAUGACGACCCGCAAGGCGUCUUUGCUCUUGGCGAAGCCUAUGUGCUGCCCCCUUACGUCGCGUCUAUCAUCACCCAAGCAGAGGCCGCCGGGGCGAGCGGGUCUGGUGGCGUCGGCAUCGCUUCUGACGUGCGUGUCGGCCCUUACAGCUCUAUCUUCGAUGUCCCGUUCAUGUAUGUGCCACAAGUCGGUGCGCACCGCCGGAAGCCCAUCUUUGCAACGAUGGAGCAGAAGCUGAGCGAGGCGCUGACGCUCAUGCUAGACCACAACACGGAGAGCAUCGCCGUUUGCUCUCCGAAGGAAGGUGUCAUCAUCGACGUUGUCAGUCGCAGCGACUUGCUGCGGAUGGAAAAUCAGGGCGUGUAUGACACGCAGCUGACGGUGCGGGAGGCGCUGGCGAGCAAGAUUAGCGACCACAUCUUUGUCUUCUACGAGAAGGAUACGCUGCGGGAAAUCUUCUCCCACUUUGUGCGGCGCCGCGUCAAGGAGCUCUUCAUGGUGGACCCGGACACAGGGCGGCUGCUGGGGCAGCUGAACGUGGCAGAGUUCGUGUACUUUCUGGUCUUCGGUGUCAGCGAUUAGGCGUUACCUGUUCGUCUUCCCUCCCUCACAACGGCCCAAAAUGCAUCAAGCGGCUGUGAUGCUGUCCAUGCUGGCUGCAGAAGAAGAGAGAGGGGGGAGGAGCCAGUUAUAGGAUUGCCGCCGGCGUGCUUUGGCGAUGUAAGACAAGCGUGUGGUUGCCUAGCCAUGGUGCUGGUGUAUUGGCGCAUGCUCAUAUGUGUGGCGAGGGUGUGAAGGGCUGCUGCUGCUGUUGCUGUUGCUUUACGCUACUCGCCUCAGCGCCGCCGUUAUUACGAGCAUUGCUUGACGAUUUCGAUUUUUGUAUCUUCGCUGUUGUUCUUCUCGUUCGGUGUGCAUUUGUUAUAUCCGGUGCCGUGGUUGCCGCGCUGUAUCGGAGUGGGACAAGGGAGGGGGAGAGUAGAAGCAAGGAGAGGGAGAGCGGAAGGGAGUGGCGCAGGUGCCCAACAAAUGGAUGAUACAGCGAUGGUACCCCCCUUCCACAUCCACUCUCUGUGUCUGUCUGUCUGUGUGUGUGUGUGUGUGUUCUCCCCCGCCCCCUCUCUCUCUUAUCUUGUUCUCUGCACACAUGCUUUACUUCUGUUUCCGUGAUCAAUGCGUUUUCUCUUCGUUGUUCUUAUUCUGUGUGUGUGUGUGUGUUUGUGUGUAUGUGCAUGUGGAUGUGUGCCACGUGCGCACCCCAAUUGCCUCAAGGAAGUGGCACGCGUCUGAG
rnacentral:misc_RNA from 1 species